UAGGAGAAGGGUGUACGCGCCUUGGACGCGUCCUCGGCGGGGUAUGAAAAGGGUACAGGCACCUCGCGGAGUAGCGGGCAAGUGAGGUUGGGCGCGGCGGGUGAGACGGAGUGGAGAGGUCGCCAGGCCGGCGUCUACAGAGGAGGGACUCGUGUUUCACCUGCGUGCACCCCGCCGGUGACCACUUCCUCUGGCGCGCGCUCGGGCGCCGCGGGAGUGGAGGAGCGGAGAGGCCGGUGUGGCCAGAGUAAGGAUUCGUACUUAACCCACGUCCGUCCCGCCGGCGGCCGCACGCUCAGGCGCCGCGCCACCACCUCGGGAGGCCGGGGAAGGCCAAGCUCCAGGCGUUUCCAGAGGAGGGACCGCAACAACCGGAAUAGACUUCCCUGUGGACUGCUACUUAGUGUUAAACAUGACGUUAGGUAUCUGUUAUACCUGGGAUCUCGAGGACCGCCUGAACUUCCAUACAAUUAAGGGUAACUAGGGUCUUCCUCUACACCACGGUUGUUUGAGUGACUUUUACUAAUAACAAGUCUGAUAACGUCGUGACGUUGGACGAUCUAAAUUCAUAUGUUGACAAACGAAUCGCCACUUAAUCCGUUAUGUACUUUUUUAUCGUAGUAAGAUCUUCCAUAUGUAGAAACAAGUAAAAGUCCUAACGAUGGAAAAAAACAAUAUGGAGAGAAACUACUAAACUACAACCAAAGUGACCGUACCUUGUAUCUUGCUUGUAUAACUGGCGAAUUAGAAAAUAUAUACAACUAGGGGUACGAAAAGAGUCCCUCUCAUUUUUAUAUUACCAAGCAAACACAUCUUGGUUAACGUAGAACCUCAUCUCAUACGAGUUCCACCAAGUGAAAACCAAAAACGUAAGGGUACACUUUAACCCUCUCACAGACCUUUUUAUACGUCACAACACAUAUUUUUUUUAAUUGUGGCACAUAAAUCCAACGGUUAAACAUUUUUUAAAUAUCGUCUAGGUUUAUCUGUAGACUAUAAUAUGGAAGAUAGAUUAACAACCGUGAAGGAAGUUUAUUCUUGUAUUCGUCUUGAAUGUUUGGCUUUAUAGAGUAUUUACUGACACACAUAAACGAAAUACAUUAAAAGAAUAAUUGAUUAGGGUAUGUCAGGACAAUCACAUAUAUAUAGUGCACGAAGAGACGAAGAUGUAUCAGUAUAGGUAAAAAGUGUUCGUCUUUGAUACAAUCCAAAUUACCAACGGGACGCAGUAGCUAAGUGGGUACACAAGACAAAAGACGGACGAAAACAAGUGUUCGAGUCAAUACGCCACAGGAGACAGAGUUUGUGGCUACUACUGGCUAUGUACACUUAACUUUUGAACCAUAAAACAGUUUGAGACCGUAGUAGGAGUGACGAAGUCGCCGUGACCGACAGAGUGGACCAAGAAGUGUCUUUGGAGGGACAUGAUAUCGUACAGCGGCUUGGUGAGCAACACCCUACGAAUUGUGGCACAAACCUACUACGGUGUGUACUAAGUCCCUUCUGGGACGGCGUAUAUAUUCGGGUGAUUCGUCCGUAAUUAAAAGCAAAACAACUCUAUAGACAAUCGAAGUACGGAAGUGGAAUUACAUCGUCUUAUCAAUUAAUGACUAAAACAUCCCUAGAAAACAACGCUGAAAAAAGUAGACUGCUUCCUAAAUAUCACCUACGUGUAGUGAAACCCACCUUGAUAGUCCGUGUGCUGGUCACUCGCCACCGUCUUCGUUGAAGAGGGAACCUGACGUACUGUACGUGCAAAAGGACAAUCGGGAUACCGAACUGGCUACGAAGAUACAGAUGGACAUGAGCUACACAACUACCGGACUACCCGUUCCGCAUGAUUCCUAGAUCGCUGUAGAAGUACGUAUUACGUAUUACAAUAAAAAACAUUAUCUCUUAAUGUACAUGGUGAAAAGUAAUACUAUCAUAUAUAAAAUGGAUGACCACGUUCAAAUAGGACGGGAGUGAAUGAGUCCUACCACAACUGUUAAAUGUAAGUGC
rnacentral:rRNA from 1 species